AGCAGCCGCGGUAAUUCCAGCUCCAAUAGCGUAUAUUAAAGUUGUUGCAGUUAAAAAGCUCGUAGUUGAAUUUCGGGGUUAGUAGGUUGGUCAUGCCUCUGGUAUGUACUGGUCUCACUGAUUCCUCCUUCCUGAUGAACCGUAAUGCCAUUAAUUUGGUGUUGCGGGGAAUUUGGACUGUUACUUUGAAAAAUUAGAGUGUUUAAAGCAAGCUAACGCUUGAAUACAUUAGCAUGGAAUAAUGAAAUAGGACGUUCGAUCCUAUUUUGUUGGUUUCUAGGAUUGACGUAAUGAUUAAUAGGGAUAGUUGGGGGCAUUAGUAUUCAAUUGUCAGAGGUGAAAUUCUUGGAUUUAUUGAAGACUAACUACUGCGAAAGCAUUUGCCAAGGAUGUUUUCAUUAAUCAAGAACGAAAGUUAGGGGAUCGAAGACGAUCAGAUACCGUCGUAGUCUUAACCAUAAACUAUGCC
rnacentral:rRNA from 1 species